rnacentral:lncRNA from 1 species
AAAAUGUUAGUAUUUAGUAUUUUAUCAUUUCAAGGUAGUCGGCAUUUUGCAUUUUGCAUUUUAUGGGAAAUUAAACACCCCCUAGCACAACCAAAUCGUCAACUCCCAACACUGCAGGCUUGAUGGAGCAUCAUUACCACGCUUCGGUUGAAGCUAAGAGCUGCAAAGCAUUUGCCAGUGCCAUUACCACCACCAUUUCAUGUUGCAUGGCUUGACCGGUCGUAAGAGUCCCAUGCACGUCGCAACUCGCACAGGCAUUGCUCUUGCUCGCGGUGCCAUGAUUGCGCCUUUCACAAACUCAUAGUUGAUCAAUUGGAGCACUUGCGAUUAUUGAAUCAUUAUUGUACUACCAUUUAGUAUGAGAUUUGAAAUUUACUUAAUUUAAUUGGAUAAAUAACAGGCCAUAUCUAAUUAAUUAAGUCCAAGAGCUAACAAUUCCAGGCUGUAAUUAAUUGUGCGAGAUGAUGUGUUCCUAGUCCACGAUGACCUUGAGAAGGACAUUGAGGAAGACGAAGGCUGCAAACGAGAUCCUAGUUUCCAUAUCUGCCAGGGAUGGGAUUUCGGUGAGCUAGCUUAAAUAUAGAGUAUUAUGGCAUCUAGAAAUUAACAAUAAUACAGCAAUGCUUUACAGCACUCAAGUGUUUUACAGCAAUUCAACACUCAAUUCCUUUCUGUUCUCUUCCUCUCCCUCUCUUCUUCUCUAACUCUGGCAAGCUUAGAUGAGACUGUGGGAGGCAGGUCGGCCAAAUGGUGGAAACGGCAGGAGGACGACGGUUAGAGUUCCAGCGGUGUAGGAGGCGGUCGAACUAGGUCAGGGCGAGGGCAUCUAUGGCCAUACGACGGUGAGGGGAGGAGAAGAAGAAGGUUGUUGUGGGCGUAAUAGGGUCUCAUCGGAGCUCAAGACCCUACUGCACUGAGGCGGGGCAGUGGACGACGGUAGGGCAUCGGGAGGAGGAAGAGGACGAUGAAGAAAAAAUCAAGUGUUCUCGAGAGCCAAAACACUCAAGCGACAGAUGAUAGAUCCUAAUAUAGAAAUGCAACAAUGUAUCCAAAGUAUGGAGGCACUGCUGUGUUUGUUAUUCCCAUCCUAGAGGUAAUCUUUGGUGUCCACAGGGAGAUAUUUAUUUUGUUCGUGCCUCUCGAGCCUCACCAUAUCAAUUCUAAUUAUGUUUCCGUCUAAUGCUCCGUAUAUAUAAUACGCUAAUAAGAUAGUGAAAUAGACGAAACUGAUCGACACAUUAGGUUUUUUUUACAACAAAUAUUUUUCAUUUGAGCAGCAGGACGCUGCAAUCAGUCUAACAGACUGAAGGUUUACAUCUAUCAGAUGCAUCAGGAAUGGGCACUGAUAGGUAAGGCUCUGAUGAGAGCAUACAUGAUGGAAGAAAGAUUCAACAGGAACAAUAACUGAGAAAGCCUGUCUAUCUAAAGCAUAUGUUGUAUUAUUUAUGUUCCUAUUGAUUUUGAAGAUCAUGGCAUGACAUUGAUCACCUGUGUUCCUGAACAUCUGGGUGAAAAAGGUUUUAUCCUCCAGUCUACAGGAUGUUCUUGGUCAUCUUCAUGUAGGAAUUGUACUAGCUGCUGGUUAUUAGUGAGAAAGGUGGUGUCAGUGAAGUUGAGUCGUUCACUAACAACUGCUGCUAGAGCAAGUGCUACAACUUCCGCCAUGAGGACUGAGUGGACUUCCAAGGCUUGUGCUGUGAUGUAGAUGGUUUGUGUGGUUGUACCUAUGGAUUGACAAAAAAUCCCAAGUCCUAUAGCUAUAUACUGCCUGGUUGGUUGGUCAUACCUUAAGGAGGCAUCAAUGAAGCAUCUGACUCCUUGGAUGAGCUCCAAUAUAGAGAUGAAGUAUUUGUCUGUCUAAGGUGAAGCUCUUGCAUUAGAUGUGAUAAUACCUGGUGAAGUCGGGGUGGCUUGAUUUGUGAGCAUCAUUUUCUAGGGGGUUUGUGCUUGUUGUUCCUCCAUAGGGUGUGAGGUGCAGGUUCCUCCUGUUGGUGCUGCAUGUGAUCAGGUGCAGGCGUCUCCAUCUGUUGAGGUGUGUGGCUGUGAUCCUACGAAGUAAUAGCAAUGGCAGUUUGCGUACCUUGUGCAGUCAUUUGUGGGGGUUGAGGUGGGAUAAGUAGAGUGUCGGUUUGGUGGCUGCUAAUGUGGGCUACGACCACAUGGUGUACCUGCCAUGGAGUCCAAGUUUUUCUGUGAAAUCAAAUAUCAUUCCUAGCUUUCCACAAAUACCAGAAAGUGAUUAGUAAUUUGUUGAAUACAGUAGAUGGGAUGGCGGCGGGGAUGAAGCUUGGUAGGAUUAGUUGCACGCCAUUAGUAUCUUGAGGUAAAUUGUCAGUGCAAAGAAGGGGAUUUGAUGAGAAUACUGUUGUGGGAGGUGAUAGUGGAAGAAUAGGUGGGCAUCAUCCUCCACCACGCCAUAGGAACAUAGUGCUUGUCUAUGUGGGGGAGUAUCUCGCUGCUUGUUUUGUUGUAGCUAGGGCUCUUUUGAUGAGUCUCCAAGUGAAGGAUUUAACUAGAGAUGGUGGCUCCUUACUAUUCCAUUCUCUCUGCAUAAUGGAGUUAGCAUGGGGUCCACCUCAAGAUGUCAUGACCAUCACUAUGAAUAGUUGGUGUUACAGUUAUGACCUGUACAUCCUAAGCAUCAAAGAUGUUAGUGAUGAGGUGAACAUUCGUGUUAUGGGAAUUUGGUUGCUAAAGAUUAGAGAAAUGGUUGGCAUUGGAGAUUGAGUAGCUAGCAGGAUCAUGUGGUCAUGGAUAGAGUUCCGAAUGGGCACCAAGGGGUGGACCAUAUAGAACUGUUACUUGAAUGGAUCUAGUAGACAGAGUUGGAGCGAAGUUUAGUUUUGACCUACAAAAUAGAAGACCAGAAGAUUGAUCUAGGACCAGUGGUGUUGGCUUUCCAAAAGGAGGUGUUGUGGAACUAUUUAGCCUUAAGGACAGAGGUGAGCAUGGGGUUUUUAUUAGUAGCAAUGUUUGCCAAGACCCCCAUUCUUCUUGGGCUAGCAAAUGUCUUCCCAAGACAUGAACGCAAUGGGAGAUGUAGGGUUGUCUUUCUAGACUCUAGUGCACCAAAAUUUCCUGAUUAUAGUGUUGAUUUUACCUAUCAUAGUAUUAGAAAAUAGCACAGUACACAUGUAGUAUACAGGGACCAAAGCUAGGACAGAUUUGAUGUAAGUCAGUCUCCCUGCAUGAUUAAGCUUGUUAGCUUUCACAGUAGUUAACUUAGCUCUAAAUUUUUUAAGAAUAAACUCAUAAACCUUAUUCCGAUCAUUACGAUUAAAAUAAUCAGGUGGCCCAAGGUGCAUGCUAUUAGGAAGGAGGUCAGGGGUAGGAAAGAUGUUCCUGAUAUCAUUUCUAGUGGUCAAAGGCACCUUUUUACUAAAAAGGAUUGAGGACUUCUAAAGAUUGGGAGUUUGCCUAGAGAGGUGGCAAAAGUCUUGUAAAAUGUCCCAGAUUUUGGUGGCUUCAAUGAUGGAGGCCUCGCCACAUAAGAUUAGAUCAUCAACAAAGAGAAGAGAGUGAAUGGGAGGGCAACUAGGACCAAGGGAAAUGCCCAAAAAAUUGGAGUAAUGAGUUCAGUUUGAAGGUGAAUGGAUAGCUCAUUGGUGGCCACAACAAAAAGACAAUGAGAGAGGGGGCAGCCCGGGCGAAUACCAUGAUGGGGAGUGAAGGAGGUGGAAGGCUCUCCAUUGAUAAGGAUGGAGAAAGUAGUAGUGGAAAUACAAGCUUGAAUGAGGUUGGUGAAAUUGGAGGGCAGCCCAAGACGAUUUAGAGAGUCCCAAUUCAGACAAUCAAACGUUUGGCCAGGUCAAGCUUGAGAUAAAAAAGCUUGCUGGUUCCAGUUUUUUAGGUUGGAAGAGAUGUGCCUGUGUUUUGAUGAAUGCAACUUAAGAUUAUUGAGUCAAUCGACAGCAACUUUGGCGUUUAGUAGAACACAGCAUGGUGCCAAGAUGAUACUACGAUGUCAGCAAAAACUUGUGGGAUCCACCAUUUAGUAAACGAUUAAAGAAAUUUUGAUUUCUUUUUUGUCGUUUCUGCACACCUCCAUGCCUACCAUACGUGUACUGUGUUGUUUUCAGUGGCGGAGGCAGCUGGCAAGGUUCGGCCUCCGCCGUACCUAAAAUGUAUAGAAAACACUAGUAUAUUAUGUGUAUAUACGGUUAUACACGUGAAAUAUACAUGGCUUAGCCUCUGCCACUGUGCACGAAUAGAUUUUGUUUGUGGGCUGGUAUCUCGUGGGCUUACACGACUACGAGCCCGUUCGCUUCUUAGCUGUACUUUUUUUCAGUGAUUUUUUUUUGACCAGCGAAUAGGCUCUAUGUCAAAAGCCCACGACACUAUCCAUAGAAGGAAGCAGCUCAUUGGUCUUCCUGCCUUCCUGGCUGGUCGACUACUCCAGGUUUUAGUGGCCGACUUGUUUAGUUUCAAUUUUUUUUAGCAAAAUAGAUACUGUAGCACUUUUGUUUGUAUUUAACAAAUAUUAUUCAAUUAUAGACUAACUAGGCUCAAGAGAUCUGUCUCGCAAAUUAUAGACAAACUGUAUAAUUAGUUAUUUAUUUUAUUUAUAUUUAGUGUUUCAUGCAUGCAGUGGCGGAGGCAGGAUUUUUGCUUGGGAUAUGCCAAACAAAAAGUUUUCAUAUACAAAUCGGUAAAAUCUAUUUAGCAAUUCGGUAGAAUUUUAUAAAAAAAAUGUCUAACAAUUCGGUACACAACUGUUAAGGCCUUGUUUAGUUCCAAAAUGGACAUUGUAGUAUUUUCGUUUGUAUUUAAUAAAUAUUAUCCAAUCAUAGACUAACUAGGCUCAAAAGAUUUGUUUCGCAAAUUACAUGCAAAUUGUGCAAUUAUUUUUUAUUUAUAUUUAAUACUUCAUAUAUGUGCCGCAAGAUUCGAUGUGACAAAGAAACUUUCAAAAUUUUGCUAAUUUUUUGGGACGUAAACAAGGCCUAAAUGGCAUAAGUCGUGCGUCCAUGGUGUGUUUGAAAGGAGCGUCCGAGAGCAGGUGCGAGACGAAUACCGAGGUCUUGUUUAGUUCUUCUAUGGUCUCCAAUGGGAGGGUUAGCUGAUCCACAUUAGUUAACCACUACUCCACAUUGGGCAAAGUGAUUUUGUUAACGCACGUAGCCACGGUAAAUCAUAAUUAAAGAGCCAUCGUGAUCAACUUUCAUUAUGUGAGCUUGAACAAAAUGAUCAACAUCAAGAGUUGGCCUACAAAUAAUUGUAGAGCUUUGCUAAAUUUCCACACCCUUUCUCCCACUCCAAAAAGCCAAAGUGCUCAAUCCUUAAGCAAAUCAUUCCACCAGGAGAACAAAAGCAAUGUUGUGGUGAUCAACAUCAAGGUAUAUCUGUAGAGCUUUGCUUUUACCGGUUAACGUGCAAUAUGAGUGCACAAUUAUGUUUAGGAUAGAUUUAUUAAGCUAAUAUUGUUAUCUAGUGCCACUAGGUGGGGACUAACAAUACACAUGUGUUAGACUCAGUGACAUGGUGAGGAAGCAAGUGAAAACCUUUGAAAAUGCAAACUCAGUGCUAAAGGUGUUAUUGUUCCGUCUGCCACAUUUGGGAGAUAUCAUAUUUGAAAAAGGGUUUAAGAGAGGGGCUUGGUGAGAUGGUUUGAAUAGUCACUAGAUAAGUCCGGUGGUCAUCAGAGCUUAGGCACACCCACUUUACUAGUCUAGUCAUCAGGCUGUCUCACUCUGUAGUGGGCCACCAAAAAUAUCCAUGCCUCUAGGUCCGAGCACUAAAGUUUAGGCUCCUUCACUUUGGGAGAGAAGGGGACGCUGGACACGAGGCAACAAUCGGCAAUGGCUGCAAAGCACACAAAGUUUAGAAGGAUAAAGGAAGACGACUAGAGGAGGUUAAAUAGUCAUUUCUAUAACUAAAUCAUGAAUCCUAGGCAAAUAAAUAACAUUAAUAAACUAUUUGUCACUUCCCACUAUAACAGCAGAAAUAAAACAACAGAGAUAAUCUAUUUUCAUAACAAUACAAUAAAAGGUACAUGACUCAUUAUUUCCAUGAUGAUUCCAUCCCUACCUGCGAGCGUGGAAAGCCUAAAAAGCCUCUCUCCACGGCCUUCCUAAAAAAAGCCCACCUGGCCACCUGUAGUUCAAUAUAAGCUACUGGAGAAGCUAGGCGUUUGGUCCAUCUCGAACCGCUUUUAAAGCUAAACAGCCCAAUAACCCAUUUCAAACAAGGUCGAAGCCCAAUGAGGCAGGUGGCCCAAAACCUGACCCGAUUCUCUCCCAAUUCUUUUUCCUCGUGUUGGAAUCGGAAUUGGAAUUGGAAUUUGUACGUAGUGGCGGCGAUAUCUGGUUCAGAGUGGGUGUUGAUUCGUGGAGAGCAGCUGGUCGGGCCCAUCCGCGCAGUUGGCUUGGCUUGGCCGCUGCCGCCCGUGCUCGCACCGGCCGCCCCACCUCCAUCUUCCCAUGGUGGUGGUAUCAUCCCCCCCCUUUCCUCUUCCUCCUCCCCACGUGCAACCACCUAACCCCUCUCCCACCGCCCUCCUCGCCUAGCCCGCCGCCACAGCGGCCGUCGACGAGCGCCAUGCCCGCCGCGGCGUCCACCUCCGCGACCUCGCUGCUGCUGGGCGGCGGCAGGCUCCCGCGGCUCCAGCUCCAGUCCCUCCGCGCCCCCGCCAAGCCCCCCUUCCGCCGCCCGGCCUCGUCCCCGUCCACACCGCUCCCCAGAUGCCGCGCCAGCGCGAGCCCCCGCCCUCUGGGCCCCGUCUCCGCCUCCGCCCUCGCGCUGCCCGUGUCGGUGACGGCCGCUCCCCCACCGCAGGUGGAGGAUGGUGGCUGGGUGGGAGGCGCGGCCGCGGCCGCGGCCGUGAGGAGAGUAGCUGUGGCGGUGGCGUGCGGGGCGCUCGCGGCGGCGUGGUGCCGCCGGGCGAUGGCUGUGGGGGCGGCCACGGCGGCGGGAGCGGGAGCGGGGGCCGGGGCCGGGGCGACGGGGGCGGUGGAAGCUGCCGCGGGGAUUGGAGGGAUGGCGCUGCACGGGGGCUGGCCGAGAGUGCUGCAGAUUCUGCAGCUGCUCAGGGAGCAGGGCCUGGUUCUGGCCGCGCUGCUCGGCCUCUCUGCGUUCUUCUCCAUGGCAGAAACUUCUAUCACGACGCUUUGGCCUUGGAAGGUGCGUUCAGCAAGUCUACGGAGACCCAUUUUCUUAAACUCCUGUUGUUGCCAUAGUAAUUACUGUACGUACGCGAAAUGAACUAUGCUUCCAGUUUUGCAAUCGGUUUGGUUCACUGAGCUACGAGGUAGGAUAUUGGGAGAUUUUUGGAUACUUAGAUGAGCAGAUUGGUAUUGGUGUAGUGUUGCUGCUAAGAGGGGAUGCUGAGAUGGGGUGAGUGUCUUAUGGGUACGUCCUUGUAUCAACUACUAUACUCAUUCUAAAUGGGUUUAUGCAAUGAGUAUUUGUAUGAACAAAGCAAACGGAUACGCACUAGCUUAGGCUGUUGGGUUGGGCUGUGGCAUGUGUGGGUCGAGGAUGUGGCGGUUGUCAUGCACAUCCUGCUUCAGCAGUGAUGUGAUAAUUUUGUCUCGCUUGCUGAUGACAUAAUCCACAGCACAAGUUUGUAUUUGAGAAGUGAUGUCACUGCUGGGAGUGUUGCUGAAAGACAUGGGGAAAGCAUUAUUGCUCCUUCCUUUUUUUUGUAGGAUAGAGGGCUGAGCAGCAGGCAUAACUGAUUGACAAGCUGACAACAGCAAGGUGCUUCAGAUAUAAUGACAGUGUGCACAUGCGCUUUAGUGACAUGUUGUGCUAGUGAUCUGUAGGAGAAUUAGGCAGGGAAUCUAUGCAAGGAAAGUUUUUAUUAUUUUGAAACUGGAACUAAUGACACUGGUAUUGGAUUACCGGUCUUACUGACUUUAUAUAUAAUCUCCCUUCACACCUAAUCUCAUCAACUGGAUAGGUAUUUCUGGUUCAGAAUAUUUAUAGCUUUGAACAGAACAUUGGUGCUCUUGUAACUAUCAUUAAAGGGGUCCUGCCUCUUUGUUCAUGUUUAUCAACAUUUAAAUUCAAUUCUAAUUCUUCAAAGACUACAACAAGGUGAUCAAUGUAAAUUGAUGGCUGGAUUCGGUUAAUCACAUGUUGAACUUGCAUUUUAUUUUUAGUAGAGGUUUAUUUGCAAGCACAGGAAUAAUGAAGCCCUAGGUUUAGUGCAUUUUUUCCCUCCAGAGUUGAGCCUAAGGAUUCAAGUUCACUGACACUUAUCAUUGUGGGUUCAAGCAUUUGCACACAUAUUAGCAUAUUGAAAUGGCUAAAGUAUUAGAGGUUGGUGCUAGAGUCUUUCCAUAACAGCGCACUUGGGACUGAAGUUUGAUUCAUGCAAAAUUUUUCAAUUGAAUCAUGCUUGAUGUUCAAAAACUAGCAAGAAUCAUAGAAAUAGCAACACUGUAUUGUGUAAUAGGUUGCAUACCUUUUCCCCCUUUGCAUUUGUUUAUUUUUCUAACGUUGUUUGGAAAUUGCCACAUCAAGGCCUAAUUUUCUAGUGAUCUGCCUAGCGCCCAAUAGCUAGCUAGCCUCUCUACUCAAGCAUUGAGGCAUCACCCCCUUCUACCCACCUAGGGCAUUUUCAGAUCAGUGUUUUGAAACUUUGCUUCGUAGUGGUACUCUUUUCUUAUUGUAACUGACUGUAUGCUGAGAGCGAAUAUCUAUAUGCUGAGACUUUGCUGAUUUCUUUUUUCCUUUGCAUUAGGUUCGUGAACUAGCUGAGAAGGAACCUGAGAAUGGUGUUUUCAAAAUGCUCCGAAAUGACGUCACUCGUUUCCUGACAACUAUUCUCAUUGGCACAACGUAAUCCAUGGCAUUUCUAAGUUGUGCAUCACUCAUUGCAAUUUUGUUUUACUAACCCUAAACCCUAAUCUCGGGCAUAAUUUGUAUGAAAUAGUGUGGUCAACAUUGGCGCAACAGCAAUUGUUACUGAGGCAGCAACAGCAAUGUUUGGUGAAGCAGGUGUUAGUGCAGCAACAGGUGUCAUGACAGUAUGUCUCCUGUCUCAUACUGGCCUUCUGCUCUUGUGUAAGUGUUCUUUAAUCUAACUAUGGAGCACCAUUUUUUAGGUUGCCAUCUUACUUCUUACAGAGAUCACUCCCAAAAGUGUUGCAGUCCAUAAUGCCACCGAGGUCGCUAGGUUUGUGGUAAGGUGAGAGAUAUCAAGUAUAACUUAGUUUCAAACAUGUUUAUUUUGAGUACUGAACAUUGUGCAUUUGUUGCGAUAUAUCAGACCGGUCGCAUGGCUUUCGCUGAUCCUCUAUCCAGUUGGGCGGAUUGCUACUUUUCUGUCUAUGGGAAUGCUAAAGAUUCUAGGCCUGAAAGGGAGAAGGUAAGACUGUAAGAGUAUGUAUAAUACUCUAGUUCUUGAUCAACUAGAAGAUAAAUUCUUUGAAAAUAUGCCAACUCAAUAAGCUCAUGUUAGUCAUAGAUUAUAUCCCCCAUUAGUUAUGAUAUGCUUUCAAGAAGGAUACACAAACAAUAAAUUAAUUCAUGCCACAAGAACCACACAGAACUCUUUUUUAAGAGCAUAUGGCUUGCUCUGCGUAGUGGAUAUAACCAGGGAAGCACAAGGAUUGAGUUUCUAGGUGUGUGUGGGUUCUGCUCAGGUGGGCAACUCUAGCUUCAUCCAUCUGUAUCUUUUUCUUGAUGAAAUGGCAUGCAGCUCUUUUGCGUCAUUCGAGAAAAAAUAACCAGGGAAGCACACUGAUUGAGUUCCUGGUUCCUGCCAAAUAAAAUCUCACCUGUUUUCUUUUAAAAAUGGAUUAAACUUGUAUAUUACUAGAAUUCAAGUACAAAUGAGAUGGUACAACAUGGACUAGAUUAGACUAGUUUGAGUAUGUGUUGAGUCUAGUUUAUAGGGUGAUAGUUGUACUUUCUAAAAUUUCUAUAAUUAGUAAAUAGUGCAGUGACUAUAUUUUUAAUCAAUAGAUGACCGUUGACACUAUUCCAAGAAUUGCAUAUCAUCUGUUAUUGUUCAUGAAGGAUCUAAUUCUAGUUUGAAUUUGCUAGAAACUUAUUGAUUGCUUUCUGUAUAAUUUAGUUUACAAAUUGAAUUUAGUAUCUGAUAUUGUAAUACAAUACACAUUUGUAUGUUAUUUUUUGCAUUUUUUUUACAAAAUCCAGUACUCAAGUACAUUGAUUUGCUAUGUCUUUUAGUUACUACAUUUGUAUAUGUUUAACCAAUAUACAAUUGAGAUUCCUAUAUAGAUAAGAUUUAGUUUUUCUUUUUCAUAACUCUUGACAUUUCUGGAGAUCUACUUCUGAAUCUUGUGCAUCAUAUACACUUCUUUCCUCAGUGAACCAUAUGUUACUGAAGAUGAACUGAAGUUAAUGUUACGAGGAGCAGAGUUGAGUGGUGCAAUUGCAGAAGAUGAACAGGUUAGACAAUCUAGUAUAUGGAGAUGCCCAUAUAUUGUGCUGCAUAUUUCCUUCUUUAUUCUUUAUGUUUCUGUGUACCUCACAGCAAGAUUUUGUUAUCCAGUGCAAUCUAGGCAAAGCCUUUACUUACAAUUUUUAUAUCAUAUAGAAAGCUGACUACUUACAUAAAUAAAGAGUGAAUUAAUGAAAUUUCAGGAAAAUAGUAACUAACGUUUUUGCAUGAUUUUAACUGCUAAUUUAAUGUUUGUACACCAUCUCAUCACAUAUAUCCAGAAUUUGAAAAGCAGUAUGGCCCCAAAGGUUUGAGUUAGAUUAUACUGUUGCAGACUAGGAUUUUGCCUCUUGAUAGUUUACUAGCACACUUUGGCUACUUCUUUGUUUUCUUGAAAACGCAGGAGAGCUGCACUUCAUUAUAUUAAGAGGAUAAAGGGCAAGAGCCCGAACAACCCCACAAACACCAUACACACACCACACACAUCACACACUCACGCCCCAACAGAAAUGUUACAUUCGCGCCCGUAAGAAAACACACAACGCGACCACUACUAGGCUAAACAUUUCUAACUAUCGGGGAGGAGGGCAGUCAAGAAUGAUAGCUCUCGAGCUGCUGCCAUAGACCAUAAACGGCGCUCCUCGCCUGCUAUGAUCAGAGCGCCAGCAAGGUUUGGAGCUGCUCCAUCAAAGACACACCCAUUGCGAUGGUUCCAUAUAGUCCAAGCUCCGAGCAUAACAAGAGAAUUAAUUCCUUGCCUUGUCAGCCCAUCAGCAGUGCUGCUAGCCUUCUCCCACCAAGCAUGGAAGGAUAAUUCUGUAAGCUGAGGGGACAAAAGCCUGAUUGAACCAAAAUUCUCUUGUGAACACACAAUGGACAAGUAGAUGGUCGAUAGUCUCCUUUUCAUGGUCACAAAGGAGGCAAUUCUCCGGAUGAGGUAACCCUCGGCGUGCUAGACGAUCAGCUGUCCAGCACUUAUUGUGCGACCAGCCACAUAAAGAAACGGCAUUUGGGCAGCACCCAUGAUUUCCAAAUCUUUUCCCAUGGUCCAAAAAGAGUAGAUCCGAAAAAGAAGCCUUCAUAUGCCGAUUUAGCCAAGUAUUGUCCAUUAGAGGAGAGCCUCCAUAGGUGCUGCAGCUGAAAAUCCAGAAGUAGAUCCCACCAUAAGUGAAAGUAGUCAACAAACCCACCAACUGUGAGCGCUCCUUGUAUGUCCAAAAUCCAAGCCCGGUUAGUAAGGGCAUCCUGGACAGUAUGCUGCUUAACCCUCCUUUUAGGAGUAGCCACAAAAAGUCGAGGGGCAAGAUCUGCAAUGCAUUGCCCAUUGAUCCGAUCUGUCCAGAAAAGAGUGUUUGCACCAUCCAAUUUCAGAAGUUACUGCCACUGAGUAGAAGGCUCUUACUUGCUUCGGCACAUGGAAUGGUAGAGCAGCCCAAGGACAAUGAGGUUCUGUUUUCUGCAGCCAAACCCAUCUCGUGCGCAAGGACCAGCCAAGGGUUUUUAAAUCUGAAAUUCCCAGGCCUCCAAGCUCUGGUGGGCCACAGACUUUGACCCAAGCCACAAGACAAUGACCACCUUUUUGCAUAUUUUCGACCCCUCCAAAGAAAGCCACGCCAAAUUUUAUUUACCACUUUGAUAGCCAUGGAGGAAAGUCGAAAGCAAUAGCUAAGUAAAUGAGCAUUCUCAGUGAGAACUGAUUGUACUUGAACCCUUCUUCCAGCCCUUGUCAUUAGGUCUGCCUUCCAGCCAGGAAGUUGAUCUGCAGUACGAUCAAUAAUAGGCUGCACUUGUUUCUUUAGGGAGAGGGGCAGACCUAAGUAUUUGCAUGGGAAAUCCGAGAGGGGCACACCUAGCUAGUUUCUUUGGCUACUGUUAUCCUUUAGGUAUUUUGCAGAACCUUUCCAUAGCAAUCCCAUUAAUCUUUAGGAAGCGAUCCCAUUUGUUAAAGCCCCUGCAGGCAACUUUCAAGUUCAUUAUUCUCGAUCACAGGUAGUCAUUCUGCAUAUUUUUCCCUCAGAAUCAUCAUAAGAAUUGGGUUAAGUGGAUAGGUCAGACUAUAGCAUGGAAAUACAUAAGUACUGAUAGGUUGUUGAAACUAUCUAAGACUACAGAUUUAUCGUGUCAAUUUGUCACAAAUAACAGAUUUUAGCUGAUGAAAUCAGUACUUCUGCAGUACAUAGAAAUACUAAAUGUGUAGUUUUAGUUUUGCAAAAACAAGGACACUAAAUUUAUAAUUCUGUGAUAAAACUUCUUAAAUCUGUAGUUUUGUGAUAGCAUAGCCCACUCACACAUAUACAAAAAAAAAGAAAAAGAAAAAAAGGAACCAUAUAGUUAUUUAUGUGCUUAGAUUCUAGGCCCUAGAACUAGAACCUAUAGCUGUGUUACACUAUUAUGAAUUCCUAGUCCGUGCCUGCUUGUGCAGGACACUUUUCUACUUGAUCAGCUAAAGUCAGCACCUGAGUCUUUUAACAGGAUAUGAUCGAGAAUGUCCUGGAAAUUAAAGAUACACAGGUGAGGGAAGUAAUGACGCCUUUGGUGGACGUAGUUGCAAUUGAUGCUAUUGCAACACUUAUUGAUUUCAAAAACUUGUGGGAAACUCAUCAGUACUCUAGGUAUUGUCAACUAUUAUUGUCGCGUGUAUUUUCAAGUCUUAUCACUGACAUCUGCUGCUAUUUGUUAUUUCCAGAGUUCCUGUAUUUGAGGAGCGCAUAGAUAAUAUUGUUGGAAUUGCAUAUGCAAUGGACAUGCUUGAAUAUGUUGAAGAGGUAUGUCUCUUGUUUACCAUUUAAUGUAAAACUUAAUCACAGUGAGUCUUAUUUGCUCCACAUGAUGCUUCUCUAAAGGGAAAGUAAAAGGUGUAUUUUUCUUUUGAAGGUUGAGAAGCUGAAUGAAAUCACUGUUAAGAAAAUCGCACAUAUGCCUACAUACUUUGUUCCAGGUAAUUUUUAGUAACAUUGUUGGAUACAAGUAUCAUGAUGAACUAAAAGAAGGCAUCUGUCAGUAGUUAUAGGGUUGGAUGUUUUUCCACAACAAUUAAUCAUUUCUGCCACAUGUUUUCUCCCAUCUAUGCAUCAUGGAUGUAACAUAUGAUACUGUUUCAUCUGGCAGAUUCAAUGUCUGUUUGGAACCUAUUAAGAGAGUUCCGGAUCAGGCAGGUUCAUAUGGCAGUGGUCCUUAAUGAAUAUGGUGGAACUAUUGGUGUAUGUCCCUAUGAAACCCAUUUUUUAUACUUUACAAACUGGACACAGUUUAGUACUUGUUAAUAUUCUUGUUAUGCUUUCAUCCAAGGCUAGUUGCUCAAUUGAGACCAUUUUGACUUAUGGCACACAACGAGGUUCAACAUUGUUUACUCCAAUCAAUUUUUAGUUGUAACUUCCAAGCAUGCUAGUUAGUUUGCUAAUAAUUGAUGAAUGCUAGUCAGUACAUGGUGACAUUUUGAUGGCCAUUUAUUGGCAACACUACUGGCUUUUGUUCCACAAUGGUCGUGUUUUUAGCACAAGCAUGUGGUGCGAUGCUUCAAGUGAUCUUGCUGCACAGCUUAUGUAACUGCAGCAAUGGGGCACUUUUCAUCUGUUGCAGUAGCAGUCCCUGUUGUUCAUGGUUUGUUUCCUUUUAAGAUAUACCCCACACAUAGAGAUUAGUUAUGCUCCAUGCAGCAGAGAUUAUUACUUUCCACAAGUUUAGAGAUUGUUUCUUAGGAAGUAGUUAUGCUCACAGUUUGUUCAUCAGUUUCUGUUUUCAGAAGUAGUUGAUGAGCGAUGAACAUGUUUUGAUUAUGUUUGCUGCUGAAAGGAUAAUUCUUUAAGAUGUUUUUCUCAUUACUGAUGCUCAUUGGUAAAAGUUGCAAAUGAUUGGACAAAGCUACUACCCGUGAGCUUCCUUUGUCUCACAUACCCUUCGAGCAAUUACGCUUUAAUGUAGCAAUAUCUAUCCAUUACUUGCAGCAACUAAGUCCUAUUGUAUUCAGAAAUGUUUAUUAGAACAGUUUGUAAUUUCAUAUGUUUAUCACUGCAUGGGACAUUGGGAAUUACUCUGACCUUUGGCCAAAAAAAAAUGCAGAUUGUAACACUAGAAGAUGUAGUGGAAGAAAUAGUUGGUGAAAUAUUUGACGAGAAUGAUUCCAAGGUGAUUAUUUCUGGAAUUUUUUAUUUCAAAUCGCAAGUGGGUGUUCAGUGCCAUACAUAUGCAUGCUAUUAUUUUCUAUUUCUUUUUCAAAAUUAUUUCCCCCUUUCUUUUGGUUUAUUAUUCCCUUUUUGCCUUGUAACUAUCGUUCUUAUAUUACAUAACUGACUUUUCAUAUGUUGGUAAUAAAUAAUGAUAUGCUAGCAUUUGAACUUACGAAAUUUAGUGGGCCAAACAUACUGAGCCAUGCCAAAAAAGACAGGCAAAUCAUACAGUCAUAUUUUAGCAGCAGCAGUGCAUUAGCGCGGUGGGUACUGAGCCGGAGUUUGCAUGUGCCUGAAGGUGGCUGAAUGAAUAAGGUGGAUAUUACCCUACCCGCACCCAAAUCAAAAUGUGUAUUUUAUUUCUACCCAUACCCUCCCCAAUUAAUGCGGGUGUGGAUUUGAAUAUGGGGAUUGAAUAUCCAGCGGCAGGUAUAAAGAUUAGAUCUCCUGCCUCAGUGCUUCUCCAAGAUCUGGAAGCAGCUGCUUCACUCCUAUUUUCUGUAUCCUAGUCAAAACAAAGGAUUUUUCCAUGUAGCAAGCUAGUUGCUCUUUGUCAUUUGCUUAGGCAGUCUCUCAAUUCCUUCUGCUACUCUGUUUUUCACCCUUUCAGGAGGAAAUCCAGAAGAAAACAGGCUAUAUAGUGAGGCGGGGAGAUGGAACAUUUGAUGUUGAUGCAAAUACAUCAAUAGAUCACCUCUCUGAAGAGCUUGGUAUCAAAAUACCAGAGGUAUUGUUUCUCAUUUGAUCUUAGCUUUCUCUACAGUUGCUAUGCAUUCCCUUGGACAUGUGUAUAUUUAAGGAAGGUAUGGCUCGGAAAAUAGUAGAUUGAUUAUGAGUAGUACAAAAGGGUAGGCAAGGAUGAUCUGGGAUUUAUAGAACAAUACCCAAUCAGGGAGAUCCUUGCCUAAUAGCUAAUCAACUACAUAAAACCCAUGGAGGCAGGCUUAGGUGCCAGGGCCCAUGCGGCCAGCCCAAUAGCCCUCUGGAAACUCCAUUCUAACAUAUAUGUUGGAGUGGACACUGUAUGAUGAUCAUCGAAAUGUGAGUUCCAUCAUUUAGAGAUGCCUGGUUUGCAGAACCUAUACAGAUAUAACGUUAUUAUAUCUAUUUUUUGGUGGAAACUGGACAUUUAAUAUUUAGGUCAACAAAAUAUUCACAAAUGUUCUGUUUGUAAAAUAUGCCCUUGGUAGUCAUCAUUUAUAUGGUGCUCUGUAUUUCUGUCAUGUUUCUCGUAGAUUGGCUGAUAAUCUUGAGACACUUGGACACUAUCUUUUGGCAGGGGCAUCAGUAUGAGACGGUGUCUGGUUUUGUCUGUGCAUCUUUUGGCUAUAUUCCAGAAGAAGGUGGGAAAAUGCUUGUGAUUCUUGAAAAGGAUUACAGAGAAGAAAACGGUGAAUAUCAGGAGGAAGGUUCUGAUCGCCAAGAUGAUAGAGAAAAAACUCAAGCUUACGAACUUGAGGUAAUUGUUACAACUCCUUGUGUACUCUGUUUGCUCAAGAGUUCUAGUACCAGGUCAAUUAUUAUAAUGCGAUUAUCUUGUCAUCGCUAGAAAUCUUUACUAGUAUAUAUAACUAUUAUGAAUUUUCCUUCAUUACUUGAAAGCUGAAAGACACCACAAAAGCUUCAAUUUUCUUUGUUGAUGCAAUACCAUGAAACCUUUUUUGUUAAAUAACUCUCAUUAGAACCAAUUUUCCAUACAGGGCAUUUGGUUCUUAGAUCAUUUUAUAGGAUAUUUCGUACUAUAAGUAAGAACCAACUACUAUCCACAAUUACCUCUACAUGCUUGUUUGUGCAUAUAAAAAGACAACAAUACUCAGAAGGUUGCUGUAACAUGUCCACACUCCGCUUUUGUGGUGCUAAUACUACCGAACAUUUGUAAUUGCUUUUUUUAUUUGAAGCUAAAAAAAGAAAGUAUACAAAAACUAAUAGAUAAGAAAACCAACUACUCAAUUGUCAAUUCAGAAUUCAUACUGUGGGUUAUAAGGUUAUUUCAGUGAAAUUGUUUUGGUAUUGGUACACAACCUUUAUUAGUUGGUGCAACUCCCAUUUCCGGAAGUCUUCGUACACUUUAAUUGAAUUGCUGCAGCCCUAGGAAUCCAUAGUUUCUGUUUCACAAUUCACCCAAAGUUUCAUUCUUUGUUGCAGAAUUAAAUAACCUUCUGUAGUUGUUUUCACUACCUUUAUUACCUGGCUUCUCUUGCUCACAGAUAGUGGAAGCUAAUGCAAGGAAGGUGGGCAAAGUCCUAUUUAAGCCAAUAAGCAGUGAAUGUGUUGGUGUUGACAACAAGGGUGUGAACCGCCUGGUCUCCAAGAAGAUCAUCAAACGGAAGAAGCAGGGCUAUGAUGAUUCCUCCGGUGACGAGUAUCCAGAUACAACAGAGAAUGGCUGCCCUGCUGAGGCACUCUCCUACUCGGAUGGUAACAGUGCCUUGUUGGAAGAUGCAAGCAGUUCUAGUGCCAAGAGGUGACAAUAAAGGAACUCCAAGACCAUCGUACUACUGGUAAUAAUUACAGCACACCGUCACCGGUCCUAAUACCCCUUGUUACAACAGAAGAAGAUGAGAAGAACAUAGUAGUAGGCUACCCAAAAAAAAAAACUGCGAGAGCAACACCAAGAGGUUAACAGCAGUUUAAGGCAUUGCAACAUUUUUCAGUAGCAGGAGUAGCAGUAGUAGCAGUCUAGAGGUGCAGCGAGGUGUCGACGUCGACUUCACCAGAGACAUGUUUGUAGUUGUAGGUCUUACUGGGCCACAGCUCCACCGCAAUGGGGUCGCUAUCGCCGUGGAGCUGGAAGCUUUUGCAUUCACAGACAGUGGUUGGCACGGCCGGGAAUAAGGAGGCUGCGGCGGCAACAGCGGCAGUGGUUUCCCGCAGCGGCCUGCACGGGUAGAGCAGCUCCGGGUGGAAGAACCACUUGACGGGCAUCUCCCUCGGGGAGGCGGUGGCCGCAGGGCGGGGGGCGAGCACGUGGAGAAGCCUCUCCUCCCGCUUCUCCCUGAUCCUCUCCAGCUCCCUGAACCUCUGCUGCAGCAGGGCGAUGGAGGAGAACAUCACCUGGCCUUCGCUGCUCUGCACCCCCAUGAUGACUGGGCGAGAGGGGGAGCUCUCACUCCAGCUCCGAGUUUCAGUUACGUGUUCGUGUCGUGUGUAUCUCACUCAAGCGUCUGUCUACUUCGCUCGGUGUGUGUGGGGGUUUUGCUUGCUGCUUGAAGGGGUGGUGGUCUUGGGCAUGUGCGUAUUUAUAAGCCGCAAAGUUUUGUCACGGCGCAGGGCGUCGUCUUGUGGUCGUCUUGCAAGUUGCGCCAAUUCUUUCAUCUUCAUCUUCCAUUAUGUGAUGCUAUGCCUGUUUGUGUGUUUUGUUUAUGGGCUGAUUGAAAAACAAAAGAGGCACUAUUGGUAUGAGAGAGAAUCUGGGAGGAGAAUGUCACGUCGCCCGAGAAAGGAAGUGGGAGGCGUGCAGGUGAGAGAAUAAGGGGCGUGGCGUGGGAGAGUCCAAGGAAAUGGGGCUGUGGACGCUUGCGCUUGUUCCGUUCCUGGCGGUGGGAAUCGCCGUGUGCCGUUGUGAUGUGCGGGGUGGCCAUGAUUGCGCCUCUGUUUGUCUGUCACCUUUUUCCCUUGCGCAUUGCUGCAGCAGCAGGGCAGGGGAGAGGUCUGCAUGCCCUGCCAUGCCCUGCCCUGCUGCUCGUACUAGCUCGCUACUACUCCCUUCCCCCUCUCCAUCCAAACGGGCACUGCGAGCUUUUCCUGGUCUAUAAUGGCGUCGUUGGAGCUGUAGUACGUGCUGUUCGUAGCAACUGUGGGCAGCGCUUUCAGGUGUGGAACUGUGCACUCCAUGAGCCAUUGUCUUCGUUUGCGUGUGUGAACGUGUUGGAGAGUCUGGGAGCAGAAAGUCUGCGUUGAACGUUACUUCUUUGGGUCUUUGACUGGUGCGUCCAUAGAUCUGUGAAUGGGAGCGCUGAUUGCACGCUGCGUAGUACAGUGCGUUCGAGUAACGCUGAGACGGCGUGCUGCUUUGAAGUUUCAACUUUUGGUUAAUUCAGGAAAGUUGAUUGAUCUUAUGUUUUUUGACGGCCAGGUAAACACGGCCAAUUGCACCGGCGUCAAAAAGACCUCUGUCAUCCGAUGCUUUGGACAGUAAUUGAGAUAUUCGUAACAAAUGCUUCACUACCCGAAGAGAAAACUAGUUUUCGUUGGUUUCCGCAUUUUGUGAAAAUAAGAAAGGGCAUGUUUGAGUCAGAGUCGGGUUAUUAUAAUUGGAUUAUCGACUCUAAUAAUUAGAGUGCUAGAUUUUUUGUGGUGGAACCUAUCCAUUUCUUGCCUAGCCAGCCAACUAUCAUGAUGCUACAUGGUAUUUAAGUAACGACCAUUUUCUCAAAUGGUCAAGGAUUAUAUUCUUCUUUGAUUUUUUUUUCCCUUCAAGUGGCCUAGGGUUUUGUAGUCUAAUGUGAACAAUAUCAGGUGAAAACAAAAUAGCAUCAAAGAAUAGAUAGCCAAAAUGCCUAACGAAAAGGAAAAUUGUGGGUUACAUGUCUCAUGAAUUAUUUGAUGAAGUAGAAUAAGAUACGUUCGGUUAUUUGAGAGAAAAAAAAACUGCACAACAUAAAAAAAUAACUGUUUGCCUAGUUGGCUAAGAAAAAAUAUAGUGGGCUCCAUGGCUCCUAAGACUCUUUAAAUAUCAUGUAAAUGGAUAUAAAAGAAGUCAAUAAAUCAUUCUGCUGAUAUUGACUGAAUUAUUUGCUAUCAACAAUUAUCCAAAAAAGAUUUCUUUAAGAAUAAUAUUUCUACCAUGUAAAACAAGAAGAAAAAGACAAAUUAAUCGGAACUUUUGUUUGUGGCUGGAACUAUUGUAAAUGUCAUUGUUGAGUUGAGAUAUUUUUUUUUUGAAGUUCCCUUUUUGCGAGGAAUGAGUAAUCUGAACGUUAUUUGUUUGUGGUUGUUGAUUCCCUGGAGCUGUUAUAGAAGUCAUUAUUGAGUAGAGAUUUUUUGAAGUUCCUUUUUGCAACGAAUGAGUAAAUAGUUGCAUAGAUGUUUGAUGGUAUUAGCAUACUCUGCUUCUAAAAUAAUGAAAGGGAUUUUCCGUUACUAUUUAGUUGUGGACUGAGGCCUGAAGAAGUAUGUUUUGAAACUCGGAAUUUCAUGGAGGAUUUGUAGGAAUCCCAUAUAUAAUAAACAUGUCAAAAUUAAUCCUCCUAUAUUUUCUUGGUCAUUUUCUAGAGCUAGGCUCAUUUAUCUUUAAUUUGUCUAGUGAAGAGUAUAUGUAUAUCCUUUGCUCCAAACAUGUAGUGGUGAGUGGAGUUUACUAAUAUUAUUAUGUGUAGUUAACCUAGAACUAGAAGCUUGGUAACUGAGCCUUAUCUAAUCUGGCCCUAAACUAACUUAUCAUCCAAACUGAUCAGUUGGAGUCUUGUGACGAUGAUAUCUCUGGUUUGUUGUGGAACGGGACUAGUACUGCCGGACAUAUUAUACAUUGGAUGCAUGCGACAUAUAUACAGUGUUGAACUUGUUUAUAUUAAUUUAUCCUGGAUAGCCAAUAGUAGCCCAUAACAUUAACAUGCAACAUAGUAUAUGCAUUUGCAUGUACUGCUAGUUCCCUGCUACGUACGAUCCUGACAGUAGGCACCUAAUCUUUCCAUGCCCCAAUAUUUUACCGCCGCUGUCGCUUCCAUUCUAGAGAGAGAACAAUAUGACCAUCUUGUAAAACAUUCUAGAGAAGAGAUGCAUGGAGAGUAUGGCAAUAAUUUAAGCAGAUUGAUGGGAGCGAGAUAUUUUUAAAGGCAGAUCAUCGAUUGAUGCAUGGGAGCGAGAGAGCUUAGCAGAGAAAAUAAAGAAGAUUGGUGAUUGGUGAUAGGCCGGGGCAGCCGUGGUGCAGCAGCAGCUAGAACUAGAGAAGCUAAAAGGAAGGCUGAUGGCAGGGCAGGGCAGUAGUUUAAGGACGGGUCCAUGCCUGCAGCUAGCUAGCAUCUAUCGACGUUCCUCCGUUGUCGCGGAGCCGGUGGACGCGAAUGGCAUGCGUGGGUGCACUACCCUGCUGAUGCACACAGCAUGCAUUGCUGCCUGCAUGCGACAUGGUAUACAGCUCCCGGCCGGCGUCUCUCCUCUCCUCUCUUCUCUUCUCUUGUCCAUCCAUCGGCAGCAUACGGUCGGUCACUCGCAGCAUGCAUGCUCCUCUGAUCGAGCUCUGCUGGUGUCGUGUCGUGUCGUCGAUGGAUCGGGGCCGGGUUGGGUGUUGCUGCAUUGCAUGCUCCCUAAAGCGCCGCCCUUGUUGCCAAAGUGAAUGCUGCCGACGACGACCGCCGCGCCGCCCGUCUUCUUUUUCGGCGGAGGGGGGCGGCCGGGCACGGGCACGGGCACGGCACAGUCUUCCGGGCAGGGGCAGGGGCAGCCGGGCAAGCCAACACCUGCUAGCGGACGAGAAAUUGAAUCGAAUGGGAAACAAAGAAAAAAUUGAUGGCUGAUGGCUCCAUCUUUCUUUCUGUCUGUCUGUCUGUCGGUCAGUCAUUUUACUAAUUUAUUUGACUGCGCUACGGAGACGACAGUGUAACAUUUUUAUUUGUAUUUAAUAAUUAUUAUUUAACUAUAGACUAAUUAGGCUCAAAAGAUUCGUCGCGUAAACUAUAGACAAACUGUGCAAUUAGUUUUUAUUUUCGUCUAUAUUUAGUACUUUAUACAUGUGCCACAAGAUUUGAUAUGACGGGAAAUUUUAAAAAGUUUUUGAAUUUCGAAGUGAACUGGUCAAAUAUGCAAUGCUUGUACGUGCGCACUAGUUUAUGCCAAUGAUUCAUUUUUCGCGGAUCCUCCGAAUUUCACACCAUACAGUCAGAAUAUAAUUGCUCCAAGACACGUCAAUUUUGAUGCGUCAAUUUGUGCAUGUGGUUCCUGGCACUACUGGAUCCGGCUUCUUUGCCGAGAGCCGCGAGCCCUCGGCAAAUGCCUAAAAGCCCUCGGCAAAGGCUUUGCCGAGGGCCAUAAACGCCCUCGGCAAAGCCUACGGCGCCGUCGAAAAACGUCAAUAUUGACGUCGUCUUUGCCGAGAGCCAUGCUGGCAGGCUCUCGGCAAAGAUUCUUUAUUUUUUUUAAAAAAAGCCUUUGCCGAGAGCCCUGCAGGAAGGCUCUCGGCAAAGAACCCCUUUGCCGAGAGCCAGACAUCCAGGCUCUCGGCAAAGAACCCCUUUGCCGAGAGCCAGACAUCCAGGCUCUCGGCAAAGCUGUAGUUCUUCUGAACCCGGCUUUCUAUCUUUGCCGAGUGCCAGCCAUCCAUGCUCUCGGCAAAGCUGAGAAUUUAGUUUUUUUUUCUGUUUUUUAUCUGUUUUUUACAUGCACAGCCACAUAUGUAUAUAUAUAUAUCACAAAUCCCUUUGUCUAUAUCACAAUCCACAUAUAUAUCACGCAUGAAACAUAUCGAAGUCCACAGAUAUCACAAAUCCACAUAGAUAUGACAAAUAUAACAUUACGUCCAACAUAAACCAUAAGUCACCACAAGUUCAUAACAUAAACCACAAGUCCACGUGAAUAUCACUCCUCGAAGUCGCUAGCGCCUCACCCCUAGUGCUGUGACUCUGACCUGUCGUCGCCGUGGCCUCCGUCGUGUCCCGAGCCUCCAUCUGGCCAAGCCGACCAGGGUGAGUGCCCCCCAGGGUGUGUAGAGCUCGCACCUGCCCACGGCGCCCACAUGGCCUGCCCUGGCACCGACGGGUACGGGUACGAGUACCCGGGGCGCGGAGGAGGGCUGCCGGACAACCCGGGGUGGCCGUGCUGCGGAUGGGCACCAGGCCACGUGUGCUGCGUACUUGGGUGGCCAUAAGUAGUAACCUGCCACCCACUCCUUGGAGAAGGGGUCGGGUUCGAACCCCACGACUGAUGCUACAUAAUAUAAAAGCGAACUCAUUAGUAUCUGCAGGACGGCCACACAAGCCAAAGCAAUAGACAAACAUAUAUACACUCACCGGACUGCCUGCAGGGGCAGGAACAGGGGGUGGAACAGGGGGUGGAGCGAAGAGCGAGGCAGGCAGCGGAGGCGCUGUAGAGCUGUGGAUGGACUGGAAGUAUCCGACUAGGUCCGAGAUCUGACGCUGCGUGUGCUGCUGCUGUGCCUCCAUGUGGCGCCGAUGGGCCUCGUCUCUGGCCGCCAGCGCGGCCGCCAGCUCUCGCCGAUGAGCCUCCUGCAGCUCGUCCUGCCUGGCCCGCAACUCCUCUAGCUGCGACUGCAAUAUUACACCCGCAAUGGUUAAACAAUGCAAAAGGAGAUGUAUAUAUGUAAAAAUAAUGGACGAUGGAUAAAGCUGUAGUUACCUGCAUCGUAGCUAUCUGCUGCACGGAGCUCGGCUGACGAGGCCGUAUGGGGACGUCGGAGGUCGAGCUGCUCCCCUGCCGAACCUCGCGGAGCGUGGGUACGGUGGCCGGGUUGAUUGCGCUGUGGGCAAUCAUGUACCGGCCGUGCUGCUUCCCUCCUCCCGUCCUCAUGAGCAAGUCCGUGUCCGAGACCCUUUGCCGUGGGCCGUCCAGUCUGGCUCUCGGCAAAGACCCUUUGCCGUGAGCCUAACGCGCAGGCUCUCGGCAAAGAACUGCUGACUUUUUUUAUUCUUUUUGAAUUUAGAGCUGAGUUUUUUUUUUUGUCCUUGUGACUCAAUUUCUAAAUACAUUUUAAAAUUUGGCAUUAAUUUGACUUUUUUUGCUAUAUUUAACUAAUUAAUCUUGUUUCUUUAUAUUUUUUCACAUAAUUCAAAUUUCAACUGUAGGUACAUGAAAUAUUACAACUCAAUGAUUCGAAAAAUGAUAGUCAAGAUAUUUGGUGUACGUUGAGGUCGUAACCACAACCACACAUGAAAUCUCAACCCUCUCGCUAACAUAACAUGUCAAGGAAUGUGAGGGAAAAUGGAUUUAUAAUUAUAUAAAUUUCAAAUAAACUCCAAAAAUCACGAAACUUGGCGACGUGUCGUGUUAUCGCAUGUGGAGGCUGUGGUAAAAAAUUCAUAAGGUUCCGAGCAAGUUGCGACACCGGAUGUCUAAAACCCAGACAUCUCCACAUGUUAUCGAAUGUGAUCACAUGCGGAGAUGUCUGGGUUUUAGACAUCUCGUGUCGCAACUUACUCGAAACCUUAUGAUUUUUUUACCACAGUCUCCACAUGCCAUAACAUGACACAUCGUCAAGUUUCGUGAUUUUUGGACUUCAUUUGGAAUUUAUAUAAUUAAAAAUCACUUGUACGACACAUGGAUGGUCAUGUUUUAUAUACAAGAAAUUCAAACUCUUGGGUGAGUUUAUGGAUACAACAUCAAAAUGCAGUCUUGAACAUGAGUAUAAUUUUUUGAAUGACUAUAUUUUAUUAUUUCAUGCUCCUACAGUUCAAAAUUACUUUUUCGAGAAAAAUACAAAUAAAAUAAUUUAAUUAAAAAAUAUAGCAAAAUGUUAUAAAAAGCUCUCAAAUUUGAACAUGUGCUUAUAUACAAUAUGUAAGGGUUACAGAAAAAGUUUGAGUACAAAACUAAAAAAAAUCUUUCUUCUUUGCCGAGAGCUUGACAAGGCACUUGGCAAAGGCCUCCUCUUUGCCGAGAGCCUAACGCCGUGGCUCUCGGCAAAGGUGACGACAACGGUUGCCGUUACCAGCGCUGCUCCUUUGCCGAGAGCCUAUCUUUGCCGAGAGCUAGGCUGUCGGCAAAGCUAGCCUUUGCCGAGGGCUUGCCUUUGCCGAGAGCUUGACCAUCGGUAAAGUUUCUUUGCCGAGGGUCGUUUCUGACUGUCGGCAAAGGCAGUCUUUGCCGAGGGCUAGCUCUCGGCAAAGCUGAGCCCUCGGCAAAGCUCUCGUUUCCUGUAGUGUGGGCUUUGAAUUGAUCGAUGGCAAAAAGCCGUAAUGGAAGCACGUCGCGUCUUGAAUGCAUGCACUAUAUAGGAAUAUAGCUACACAAAAGAAGAGAAAUAAUGACACACAUAGUAGUAGCUAGCUAGUAAAGUGUGUAUGUAAGGCCUUGUUUAGUUCCCAGAAAAUUUUGCAAAAUUUUUCACGGUCCCCGUCACAUCGAAUCUUUAAACGCAUACAUAAAGUAUUAAAUAUAGACGAAAAUAAAAACUAAUUGCACAGUUUGGUCGAAAUAGACGAAACGAAUCUUUUGAGCCUAGUUAGUCCAUGAUUGGAUAAUAUUUGUCAAAUACAAACGAAAGUGCUACAGUGUCGAUUUUGCAAAAUUUUUCGGAACUAAACAAGGCCUAAACCUAAAAGCCCAUGCAUUAUUGCUUUUUAAAAAGUUAAAGCGGUGAUGGAUGGUUUUGUUCAUGGCUCGAGGAGGAUGUGUCCUAGCUAGUUGUUGGUGGGGGAGGUGAGAGUACCUAGGAAAAUUUGCUUACAUUUUCCUGUACAUGCAUGCAUGCAACGCUAAUUGGAUGGAUAUGGUCGGAACAUGCAUGGGUCCACCAUUCACAUCUCUUGGUCCUACACGCACGCCUACUAUUGUGAUGCGUCUCAGCUUUUUAAUGUGCCUGCGUUGCAUGCAUGCAGCUGGGUACGUAAGGACACGCCGCAAGCUGCCCAAACUCUAGCUCUGCUUCCCGCAUUGCAUUGCAUUGUAUCUACCUCGUGGCGCAUUAGGGUUAGAGAGAGAGAGAGAGAGAGAGAGAGAGAGAGAGAGAGAGAGAGAGAGAGAGAGAGAGAGAAGUGUGGUAUAGCUAGCAUGCAUCCAUAUAUAUCCGAUCGACCUGUAGUUCAUGGCACAUUCAUUAGGUUUGGAAGAGUGAGAUCGAGGCAGGACGAUAUGUAGUACGUCGUCGUCCUUCGUAUAAACGGACAUUCGCUCAAUGUUGAAUUGUUGACAGACGACGAUGCGCGCGGCACUUUGUUUGACCAUGCAUGCAUUCAUCCGUGCAUGCAUGGAGCGUCUAUGUGCUUGUCCCUGAAUAAACUAAUUAAUCACUGCACGAACUCGAUCGCCUUGCUGUCAACUUAGCUUAGCUUAUUACAAGUGUGUUAACGACAAGCAAUCAUGGAAAUGAGCUGCAUAUAGACACUGUUCACAAUGCACGUUAUGUUGGAGCACUAGCUAUAGCUAAUUAAUGAGCCAGCAAUUAACAAAACGCCUGCUAAACCAAAAUAUGCAUUUAAGCCAUGUUUCGUUUCCUCCGGUAAAGUUUAACUCCUGUCAUAUCGAGUGUUUGGACACAUGCAUUAAAUAUUAAAUAUAAAUUAUUUACAAAACUAAAAUAAAACUAGAGAGUAAUUUGCGAAAUAAAUCUUUUAAAUCUAGUUAGUCUAUAAUUAGAUACUAAUUGUCAAAUAAAACAGAAAUAUGCUAUAUGCUACAGUACAUCCUUAACCGGCAAGUACAGGCCGGGUGAGGCAUGUCGGAUGCUAGAGAUGGCCAAAUGGGCUAAGCCCAAUAAUACGCAGCCUAAGCACAUAUGGGCCUACUAAAGCAUCGCAUUACAUUAUGGGUCGAGCCACUAUGUGUCUCGUGCCCUUUUUUACCAUUCAAAAUGGGUGCUCUCAGGAUGGAUCAUAAUUAUGCCCCUUUUUAAUUCGAGAGCAAUGUUGAUCAAAUUUCGUCGUAGUUGCAGCACAGCCAAAAAAAAAAACUAACAAAAAGAGCCUGUCAGACAACCCAUGGGCCAUCCCAGCCAGGCAAGCCUGGCCGGAAACGAUCAUCUACAGCACCGGACAAAGCGUCAGAGCCAAUCCUGGCCGUUAAUCACGCUCUGGCCCACAGGUCAUGGCUCAUCAACCAGGCUUAAGUGCUUGCCUCCUUAUUAAUCAAGGAUGCAGCGGUACGAUCCUAUAGAACAGAUCCUGUUCAAGUAAGGUCGU